AUAGAAAGCAGCACACAUGACCUCUGUCCUUCCAGCUGCCACCAGUUUCUGGGUUGUCGAGUGAUACCCUGAAAGUUUACAGUCAACACUCCUUGUGUGGGGUCAGUCCUAGAAAUGGCGACGCUGCUCUCCGAAGAUAGGAAAGAAAAGGACCUCAUUCCAUUGAGCCAUUGACCGAAAUAUUUUCUCAACAAAGUUGAACUGAGCUGAAACUGUGUGAAUCAUGGCAAUACAGUGAAAGACAGUGAUUUACUGCUUUUGAGGGCGUGCAUGUAUAUGAUUAACGGAUGGAAGUGCAGGACUCCAAGAUUUACUUCCUUCCCUUUCCAGCAGAAUUACCUGAGACGAGUAAAAUCUACUGGUGGAGUCACUCCAUUAUUCUUAUCUGUGGAGAUCUAGAUCUUGAUUUGAAAGUUUCUGAGAAAAUCUUCAGCUCAGACUUGAGGGUCAACUUUACCAGCUGAAGUGACUACAUCCUGCCUGCUUUCAGCUCCAGUGGAAAAUGCAUUAAUCCCAGAGUCUCCGUGAGGUUUCCUGUUUGAUGACAUAAUCAGAAAAUCCUCCUCACAUUGCCCUUGGGGUUGCUGUCUGGAUGUUAUGUUGUCUUGGAUCUGCAUUUACUGCUCAACCACAUCUAAUUUGAUGUCCUCUGCAGAUUUAAAAUGUGUGCCUUCUUUUCCGUCACCAAGUCAUCCCUGGGUUACUACUGAACAUCCUUCUCAAUUCCCCCCGACCCAUGGAUGGCUGUUCUCCAUUGUCUGUUUCACCAGAUGUCCUCAAAACAAACAGACAGAAGAAGGAAGUGGCUAAUGGAGCUGUGGAGUCCAAGUGUGACUGCCAAGAGGAAUCCAGCAAAGCCAAAAAGCCCAAGCAUGUAGCCCUGCCCGAAGCACGCCACACGCAUGGAAAACCCAGAGGAAAUGAGUGAGGAUCAAUGGGAAGAAGAGAGCCAGCCAGGAAGUUGAAGAUUUGUCCAGGAGCAGAUAGCUGAAGAGAGAGAGAGAGAAGAGAGAACGGCUUACAGCUCAGUUCUGGAGACCAGAAGGCCAAAAUCAAAAGUAUGGGCAGGCUUGAUUUCUUUAGAAGACUCCAGCGGAGAACUGUGUCUCCUUGCUUCUGAUUCUACAUCUCCAUCCAUGGGCCACUGUUUCAGCAACCUCAGCCAGUGCAACACAACCUCAGCCAAGAAGAGUAUGCAGAGAAAGGAGUCCCCUACCUGCCACAAAACUGUUGUCUGAAAACUGUCUCAUAUUGUCUCAAGUUGUCAUUCAUUGUGAAUUAGACCUGUUUAACAUGUAAUCUGCAACAUGCUUCACUGUCUAAUUUUCCAGAGCCCCUCAUAUAAGGAACUGUAUUAUUGGUAUAAUCAUCAUGGUGAAGAAGUUGGUAUGUGGGGGAGAGAUGACAGAAACAGAGAGUAAGUCAGAGCUGGCUGCCUGACAGAUAAAAAGGAAAUGACCAAAAAAAAAAAAAAAGACACAGAAGAA
rnacentral:lncRNA from 1 species